UACAGAGGGUGCGAGCGUUAAUCGGAAUUACUGGGCGUAAAGCGUGCGCAGACGGUUGCGUAAGUCAGAUGUGAAAGCCCCGGGCUCAACCUGGGAAUUGCAUUUGAGACUGCGUAGCUAGGGUGCGGAAGAGGGAAGCGGAAUUUCCGGUGUAGCGGUGAAAUGCGUAGAUAUCGGAAGGAACACCAGUGGCGAAAGCGGCUUCCUGGUCCAGCACCGACGUCAGGCACGAAAGCGUGGGGAGCAAACAGGG
rnacentral:rRNA from 1 species